CAGCCCUUGACAUCCCGGUCGCGGAGAGCGGAGACGCACUCCUUCAGUUCGGCUGGACCGGAGACAGGUGCUGCAUGGCUGUCGUCAGCUCGUGUCGUGAGAUGUUGGGUUAAGUCCCGCAACGAGCGCAACCCUCGCCCUUAGUUGCCAUCAUUUAGUUGGGCACUCUAAGGGGACUGCCGGUGAUAAGCCGGAGGAAGGUGGGGAUGAUGUCAAGUCCUCAUGGCCCUUACGGGCUGGGCUACACACGUGCUACAAUGGCGGUGACAGAGGGAUGCAAAAGGGCGACCUUUCGCAAAUCUCAAAAAGCCGUCUCAGUUCGGAUUGGGGUCUGCAACUCGACCCCAUGAAGUUGGAAUCGCUAGUAAUCGCGGAUCAGCACGCCGCGGUGAAUACGUUCCC
rnacentral:rRNA from 1 species